rnacentral:rRNA from 1 species
CCUUCACCAGGCCAAGGAGCCGGCAUCAGACACAGCCCCCGUCCACAACGCCUAGUCUCACCACACCCCCAAGGGUCAUCAGCAGUGAUAAAUCUUGAGCAUAAGCGACAGCUUGACUCAGUUACAGAAAAGAGGGCCGGCUAACCCGGUGCCAGCCGCCGCGGCUACCCCGUGGGGCUCAAGUUGAAGGUCAUCGGCGUUAAGCGUGAUUAAAGUCCCCUUAGAUUAGGGCCAAAUUAAUACUUAGUCGUAUAAAACUUGCUAUUAAGAAGAACAUAAACGAAAGUUGCCCUAACCCUCACACUUGAAUACACGACAGCUGGGGGACAAACUGGGAUCAGAUACCCCACUAUGCCCAGCCGUAAACAAUUAAUCCACACCUAUAAGCGCCAGGGAAUUACGAGCCAUGCUUAAAACCCAAAGGAUUUGACGGUGUCCCACCCCACUAGAGGAGCCUGUUCUAUAAUCGAUAAUCCCCGCUACACCCGACCAUUUCUUGCUUAUCAGUCUGUAUACCUCCGUCGAAAGCUUACCGUGUGAACGCCCCCACAGUAGGUUUAAUGACCUCCGUCAAUACGUCAGGUCAAGGUGCAGCUUAAGAAAUGGGAAGUAAUGGGCUACAAUUUCUAACCUAGAACAAACGAAAGACUAUGUGAAACCCUAGUCACGAAGGCGGAUUUAGCAGUAAGAAGAAAAUAGAGUGUUCUUUUUAAUCUGGCUCUGGGACGCGUA